rnacentral:rRNA from 1 species
UUCGUAGGCGGUCCUUUAAGUCAGAAGUGAAAGGCAGUGGCUCAACCAUUGUAAGCUUUUGAAACUGGGGGACUUGAGUGUUGGAGAGGAAAGCGGAAUUCCUAGUGUAGCGGUGAAAUGCGUAGAUAUUAGGAGGAACACCAGUGGCGAAGGCGGCUUUCUGGACAAAUACUGACGCUGAGGAACGAAAGCGUGGGGAGCGAACAGGAUUAGAUACCCUGGUAGUCC